rnacentral:rRNA from 1 species
GCUCACCUCUUACCAUUCCGAACAGAGAAGUUAAGCCCAUUAGCGCCGAUGGUACUACAUCGUGGGAGAGUAGGUCGCCGCCUUUU